rnacentral:rRNA from 1 species
UUAACACAUGCAAGUCGAGCGGGGAAGGGUAGCUUGCUACCUGACCUAGCGGCGGACGGGUGACUAAUGCUUAGGAAUCUGCCUAUUAGUGGGGGACAACAUUCCCAAAGGAAUGCUAAUACCGCAUACGCCCUACGGGGGAAAGCAGGGGAUCUUCGGACCUUGCGCUAAUCCAUGAGCCUAGGUCAGAUUAGCUAGUUGGUGGGGUAAAGGCCUACCAAGGCGACAAUCUGUUCCGAGUCUGAGAGGAUGAUCCGCCACACUGGGACUGAAACACGGCCCAGACUCCUACGGGACGCAGCAAUGCGAAAUAUUGUACAAUGGGCGAAAUCCUAAUCCAGCCAUGCCGCGUGUGUGAAGAAGGCCUUUUGGUUGUAAAGCACUUUAAGCGAGGAGGAGGCUACUUGGAUUAAUACUCUAGGAUAGUGGACGUUACUCGCAGAAUAAGCACCGGCUAACUCUGUGCCAGCAGCCGCGGUAAUACAGAGGGUGCGAGCGUUAAUCGGGUUUACUGGGCGUAAAGCGUGCGUAGGCGGCUUUUUAAGUCGGAUGUGAAAUCCCUGAGCUUAACUUAGGAAUUGCAUUCGAUACUGGGAAGCUAGAGUAUGGGAGAGGAUGGUAGAAUUCCAGGUGUAGCGGUGAAAUGCGUAGAGAUCUGGAGGAAUACCGAUGGCGAAGGCAGCCAUCUGGCCUAAUACUGACGCUGAGGUACGAAAGCAUGGGGAGCAGACAGGAUUAGAUACCCUGGUAGUCCAUGCCGUAAACGAUGUCUACUAGCCGUUGGGGCCUUUGAGGCUUUAGUGGCGCAG